rnacentral:rRNA from 1 species
AUGGUUCAGAUCAAGGAAUUCCGAAUCAUCAUGCCUAUGUCGAUGGAGGAGUAUGAGAUAGGGCUCAGCUACACCAUCAUGAAGAUGGAGCAGCAGAAUACAAAUGGCAAGGAGGGCGUGGAGGUGCUGCAGCAGGUCCCUUUUGAGGAUGAGAAACUGGGCGAAGGCCAAUUCACCUCGAAAGUUUAUCAUUUGCAGAGCAAAAUUCCAUCUUGGAUGAAGGGCUUUGCAUCCGCGAGUUCUCUCGCUGUGCAUGAGGACUCGUGGUCCGCGUAUCCAAAGAGCAGAACAGUGAUCAAGUGCCCGCUUUUUAGCAAGUGUUCACUGACGAUUGACACUGUGAUAAGACCUGACAACGGCUGCUCUGAAAAUGCGCACAAUCUAAACAGCCAGCAGCUAGCUGAAAGAGAGGUGGAGAUCGUCGACAUCGCGUCAGUAUCGCGGGACUACUGGAGCAAGGUGAUCACUGCUCCAAAAGUCGACCUCACAACUUUCAAGUCCCAACGGACGGACCGAGGCCCUCUUCUGAAUGGGUGGAUGGAUUCUUGCCGUCCCGUGAUGACCAUAUACAAGCUUGUGAUCAUGGAUGCUCCCAUCUGGGGCCUGGGCGAACGGCUCGAAGAUUGCCUCAUCGCGGGGGAGAGGGCGCUGUUUCUGGCGUGCCACCGGAUGUGCUUCGCGUGGAUAGACGAGUGGUACGGCAUGACCAUGGAGCAGAUCCGGGAGAUGGAGAGGCACACGGACCUACUCCUCAAGAAGACACUGAAAAAGGCUGCAAAACCUGGGAGCAAGCACGAGGGCAAGAGGAAGUCCCUCAAAGACGAAAUCGCCGUCGUGGGGAGCUGCACAUAG